GACGAACGCUGGCGGCGUGCUUAACACAUGCAAGUCGAGCGGUAAGGCCUUUCGGGGUACACGAGCGGCGAACGGGUGAGUAACACGUGGGUGAUCUGCCCUGCACUUCGGGAUAAGCCUGGGAAACUGGGUCUAAUACCGGAUAUGACCUCCUAUCGCAUGGUGGGUGGUGGAAAGAUUUAUCGGUGCAGGAUGGGCCCGCAGCCUAUCAGCUUGUUGGUGGGGUAAUGGCCUACCAAGGCGACGACGGGUAGCCGACCUGAGGGGGUGACCGGCCACACUGGGACUGAGACACGGCCCAGACUCCUACGGGAGGCAGCAGUGGGGAAUAUUGCACAAUGGGCGAAAGCCUGAUGCAGCGACGCCGCGUGAGGGAUGACGGCCUUCGGGUUGUAAACCUCUUUCAGCAGGGACGAAGCGCAAGUGACGGUACCUGCAGAAGAAGCACCGGCUAACUACGUG
rnacentral:rRNA from 1 species